ACAGUUUUGGUCCUGGGCUAACCGUUGUUUUUUAUUAAGUUUAUACAUGCAAGCUUCAACAUACCAGUGAAAAUGCCCACAACAUCUAUAAAGAGACAUGGAGCGGAUAUCAGGCACCACCUUGAGCCCACAACGUCUUGCUUUGCCACACCCUCACGGGAAGUCAGCAGUAAUAAAUAUUGAACCAUAAGUGAAAACUUGAUUCAACUAUGAUACUCUCUGGGCUGGUUAAUUUCGUGCCAGCCACCGCGGUUAUACGAAAAGCCCAAAACAACGAUUAACGGCGUAAAAUGUGACUAGAGAAUAUAUUUUAAUAAAAUGCUUAAAUCUAUAUACUUAGUUAUAAAAUACUUUAGAGAUAGAGAAAACCAAAACAAACAUUAUUAAUAAAAUAUCCUUGAACUCACGAAAGCUAAGAAACAAACUAGGAUUAGAUACCCUACUAUGCUUAGCAUUAAACACUGAGAUUAAAUUAUACACCACCCUCCGCCAGAGAAUUACAAAUGAAAAAUUUAAAACUCAAAGGACUUGACGGUGUCCCAUACCGACCUAGAGGAGCCUGUCCUAUAAUCGAUACCCCCCGCUCCACCCAACCUUAACUAGCAUUUACCAGCCUAUAUACCGCCGUCGACAGCCUACCCCAUGAGGGAUAAAUAGUAGACAAAAUAGCCUCACUAACACGUCAGGUCAAGGUGUAGCAAAUGUUAAGGAAGAGAUUGGCUACAUUUUUUAACCAUAAAAAAUUACGGAAAGUUUCAUGAAACAAAACAUGAAGGUGAAUUUAGUAGUAAAAUAAACUAGAAUAUUUAUUUUAACAACGCUCUGGGACGCGUACACACCGCCCGUCACCCUCUUCAACAAAAUAAAAUUAAACCUAAAUAAAUAAAGAUUUCACUAUAGAAGAGGCAAGUCGUAACAUGGUAAGCGUACCGGAAGGUGUGCUUGGAUUAAC
rnacentral:ncRNA from 1 species